GCUUGAGCACGUAGGUGGGUUUGUAAGUCAGAUGUGAAAGCNUUCUGUUCAACGGAAGAAUUGCAUCUGAAACUACAAGUCUUGAGUGUAGGAGGGGAGAAUGGAACUUCUGGUGGAGCGGUGAAAUCCGUAGAUAUCAGAAGGAACGCCGGCGGCGAAAGCGAUUCUCUGGCCUAUUACUGACACUCAGUGUGCGAAAGCUAGGGGAGCAAACGGGAUUAGGUACCCCGGUAGUCCUAGCCGUAAACGAUGGGCACUAAGUAGUGGGAAUUACCGAUGUUCUCUCUGCCGUAGCUAACGCAUUAAGUGCCCCGCCUGGGGAGUACGGCCGCAAGGCUAAAACUCAAAAGAAUCGACGGGGGCUCGCACAAGCGGUGGAGCAUGUGGCUUAAUUCGAUGCAACGCGAAGAACUUUACCGGGGCUUGACAUGGUAGAAGUAGGAACCCGAAAGGGUAACGAACGGUAUCCAGUCCGUGACUAUCACAGGUGUUGCAUGGCUGUCGUCAGCUCGUGUCGUGAGACGUUGGGUUAAGUCCCCUAACGAGCGAAACCCUUGUUUUUAGUUACCAGCGGGUUAUGCCGGGUACUCUAGAAAGACUGCCGUCGUCAAGACGGAGGAAGGUGGGGAUGACGUCAAGUCAUCAUGGCCCUUAUGCCCCGGGCUGCACACGUGCUACAAUGGUCGGUACAAACGGAAGCGAAGCCGAGAGGUGAAGCGAAUCCAAGC
rnacentral:rRNA from 1 species